UACGUAGGUGGCGAGCGUUGUCCGGAUUUAUUGGGCGUAAAGAGCUCGUAGGCGGUUGGGUAAGUCGGGUGUGAAAACUCCAGGCUCAACUUGGAGACGCCACCCGAUACUGCUCUGACUUAGUUCGGUAGGGGAGUGGGGAAUUCCUGGUGUAGCGGUGAAAUGCGCAGAUAUCAGGAGGAACACCGGUGGCGAAGGCGCCACUCUGGGCCGAAACUGACGCUGAGGAGCGAAAGCGUGGGUAGCAAACAGG
rnacentral:rRNA from 1 species